rnacentral:rRNA from 1 species
GAACGCUAGCUACAGGCUUAACACAUGCAAGUCGAGGGGCAGCAUGGUCUUAGCUUGCUAAGGCCGAUGGCGACCGGCGCACGGGUGAGUAACACGUAUCCAACCUGCCGUCUACUCUUGGACAGCCUUCUGAAAGGAAGAUUAAUACAAGAUGGCAUCAUGAGUCCACAUGUUCACAUGAUUAAAGGUAUUCCGGUAGACGAUGGGGAUGCGUUCCAUUAGAUAGUAGGCGGGGUAACGGCCCACCUAGUCUUCGAUGGAUAGGGGUUCUGAGAGGAAGGUCCCCCACAUUGGAACUGAGACACGGUCCAAACUCCUACGGGAGGCAGCAGUGAGGAAUAUUGGUCAAUGGGCGAGAGCCUGAACCAGCCAAGUAGCGUGAAGGAUGACUGCCCUAUGGGUUGUAAACUUCUUUUAUAAAGGAAUAAAGUCGGGUAUGCAUACCCGUUUGCAUGUACUUUAUGAAUAAGGAUCGGCUAACUCCGUGCCAGCAGCCGCGGUAAUACGGAGGAUCCGAGCGUUAUCCGGAUUUAUUGGGUUUAAAGGGAGCGUAGAUGGAUGUUUAAGUCAGUUGUGAAAGUUUGCGGCUCAACCGUAAAAUUGCAGUUGAUACUGGAUAUCUUGAGUGCAGUUGAGGCAGGCGGAAUUCGUGGUGUAGCGGUGAAAUGCUUAGAUAUCACGAAGAACUCCGAUUGCGAAGGCAGCCUGCUAAGCUGCAACUGACAUUGAGGCUCGAAAGUGUGGGUAUCAAACAGGAUUAGAUACCCUGGUAGUCCACACGGUAAACGAUGAAUACUCGCUGUUUGCGAUAUACAGCAAGCGGCCAAGCGAAAGCGUUAAGUAUUCCACCUGGGGAGUACGCCGGCAACGGUGAAACUCAAAGGAAUUGACGGGGGCCCGCACAAGCGGAGGAACAUGUGGUUUAAUUCGAUGAUACGCGAGGAACCUUACCCGGGCUUAAAUUGCAGAUGAAUUACGGUGAAAGCCGUAAGCCGCAAGGCAUCUGUGAAGGUGCUGCAUGGUUGUCGUCAGCUCGUGCCGUGAGGUGUCGGCUUAAGUGCCAUAACGAGCGCAACCCUUGUUGUCAGUUACUAACAGGUCAUGCUGAGGACUCUGACAAGACUGCCAUCGUAAGAUGUGAGGAAGGUGGGGAUGACGUCAAAUCAGCACGGCCCUUACGUCCGGGGCUACACACGUGUUACAAUGGGGGGUACAGAGGGCCGCUACCACGCGAGUGGAUGCCAAUCCCAAAAACCUCUCUCAGUUCGGACUGGAGUCUGCAACCCGACUCCACGAAGCUGGAUUCGCUAGUAAUCGCGCAUCAGCCACGGCGCGGUGAAUACGUUCCCGGGCCUUGUACACACCGCCCGUCAAGCCAUGGGAGCCGGGGGUACCUGAAGUGCGUAACCGCGAGGAGCGCCCUAGGGUAAAACUGGUGAC